CUUGGAGGCAAGGAUUUAAGGAUAUGCAUGGAUUCCAAAGGAUGACAACAUCCACAUGUGGGUCUAUAUAAAGCUUGAUCCUUAUUGAGGCCACAAAAUUGGUUGCAAAGCUUGAUGAGAAGGAAAGAAAUAGUUUACCAAUGCUUAGACAAG